GGUAUUACCAUUGAUGGUUUUCAUCUCCUCCUCUAAAAUGUAUUUUCUUCCAUGGUUGUUAUCUCCUCCUCCAAAAGAUGUACUUUUUCCAAGAUUUUAUUUGAGGCAUCAAGAUUAUGAAAAGUCAAACACAGUCAAAUAAAUUCCUUUGUAAUAUUUUCUCAUAAUAAAAUAUUCAUUUUUCAAUAAUUUUGGAUGCAUAAUCAAUAAAAAUUGU